GUUCUGGCUGGCAGCGGGCAUAGGACUGAAAAUCCUCUUUCGCCGGGCCUUUUGGACUCGAAAUCCAAACGGAGAGAGUGGUUCGAAUCCACCUCAGAAC
rnacentral:tRNA from 2 species